GCGGCACAGGGCCUCCUCCGCCACGCAGCUGGACCCCGAGCCUCGGGCCCGCGCGCUUGGCACCCCUUCCUCCACCGCGCGCUCGGCAUCCCCUCCUCCGUCGCGCUGCCGAUGCCAGGUGCAUGGCCGGGUGGCGCACGAGCAAGCGUGGCCGCGGGGCUGCCGGCGUGCGAGCAGUCAUGACGGCGUCACGGCGGGCGGAGGUAGCGGAGUAGCGGGAGGCGGUCCGCCCCUCGUCUCCCGUGGCGCCCGAGGAGCAGACGGUGGAAGAGGAGUAGGAGGAGGCCACCUUUGUGAACGCGUUCAGCGACGAGCAUCUGUGCGAGGAUAUUCAUACGGAGCUUAUUCAGUCUAGAAGGAAUCAGAUGGUCAAAUGAGGAACGGUAAAGGAACAGCUAACAGUUGAUUUAGUGUCCAGGAAGAUGACUGGUUUGUGUCCACUCAUGCCAGAAGAGAUUGAAUAAAACACUUAUCAUGGAGGCUGUCGUGUUGAUCUGCAUACUAUAGAGAUAAUGAUGAGUUUGUGAUCCUAAGUUUGAGUGUUAAAGAAUCUGACCUGGUGACUGGGAAACUUCACGGGCAGAUCCUCAAGCACCUCCUAAGGUUAAGAACAUUAGCUUCAGUGUCUCGGAUGUGAGUGGUCAGGAC